rnacentral:rRNA from 1 species
AGCGAACGCUGGCGGCAGGCCUAAUACAUGCAAGUCGAGCGCACCUUCGGGUGAGCGGCGGACGGGUGAGUAACGCGUGGGAACGUGCCCUUUGGUACGGGAUAACUGAGGGAAACUUCAGCUAAUACCGUAUGUGCCCUACGGGGGAAAGAUUUAUCGCCAUUGGAGCGGCCCGCGUUGGAUUAGGUAGUUGGUGAGGUAAAGGCUCACCAAGCCUACGAUCCAUAGCUGGUCUGGGAGGAUGAUCAGCCACACUGGGACUGAGACACGGCCCAGACUCCUACGGGAGGCAGCAGUAGGGAAUCUUGCGCAAUGGGCGAGAGCCUGACGCAGCCAUGCCGCGUGAAUGAUGAAGGUCUUAGGAUUGUAAAAUUCUUUCACCGGGGAAGAUAAUGACGGUACCCGGAGAAGAAGCCCCGGCUAACUUCGUGCCAGCCGCCGCGGUAAAAC